rnacentral:rRNA from 1 species
UACGUGGGGUGCAAGCGUUGUUCGGAAUUACUGGGCGUAAGCGUGUGUAGGCGGCUCGUUAAGUCUGACGUGAAAUCCCUGGGCUUAACCCAGGAACUGCAUCGGAAACUAGCGAGCUUGAGUCCGGGAGAGGGUAGUGGAAUUCCUGGUGUAGAGGUGAAAUUCGUUAGAUAUCAGGAGGAACACCGGUGGCGAAGGCGGCUACCUGGACCGGUACUGACGCUGAGACACGAAAGCGUGGGGAGCAAACAGG